AAUUAAAGUGUAGAAUACUCCUACACUGUGUUAUGCUAGAUCAUUUAUGUACUCUUGUGCAGAUUUAGUGUCCUAGGGUCAAGUGCAUGCAAGAGGCUACAUGCUAAUUUAUCUAAAGCUACGAGUGCUAAAUGAAAUUAACUCACUUAAUCUAGCUCUAUAGUACAGCCUAGCAUCCUUAUCAAACUUUUAGCAUAUAAUUAUUUAGACUACCAAGGAAUGGGCCUACAGGCCCUUAAUCUAGCCCUUCCUCCCUGAAGCCACACACGCACAGCACAUCACAGCUCUCCUCCUUCCUCUGCUUCUUCCCCACCUCACUCUCUCUGCUACCUACAGACAUGGCGCCUCCUAAUCUUCCACAGCGAUGGGGGAUCUCGGCACUGCUCACCUCCAUGCUACUUCCUCUCCUACCCAGGUGCCAUACACACCACUUUCCCCCUCCGAUUAGACCCCUUGGUAUUCUCUAUCAUAUAUGAUAUACCCUAUCUUCGACGCUCAGUGCAUGGGUGCUAGGCGGCGCCGACUCUGCUCAGGUGAGCGAGGUGAGUACAUGUCCUACUGAUCUGCACCUUCCCUCUUGCAUUCCAACUAUUUCCCCUCUACAGUCUAACUAUUUGAUUCCAUUUCAUGCUCUACAUAUACGUGCUGUGUUGUUGGCUUGUUGCCCUGUGAUUGUUCUGUGAAAUUGUGUAAGGGGAAACAGAUGCUAAGAAAGGUAAUGCACUGAUGUGUGGAGGCAAAGUGCAGGUUCUGUCGCGGUCACGAGCACAAGCAUGUGGCUGCGGCCGUUGCCUCGAUCCUCCUGGUCACCUGUUUGCACUGUUCUUGCCGUGGAGUGAUUGGUUGGGAGGAAACGUGAGGCUUCUCAUUGGCUGCCUGGCUAGGGACCUGUACUGCUACUACUACAAGCUGGCCGGGCAAGUGCUCCGCAUCUUCUAAAUGUUCAUGGCCAUUCUUCAAGUGUAGACUAAAGUAUAGAGAGCUAGUGUGUUGGUAUUUCUAUUUGUAUUACAUACUGUCAUGUAAAUAGCUAUGAAAGAACAGUGUGUAAGGUAUUUGUAAGGCUACAUUGAUUCUGAUAAUAUAUUAUUAAUUCCAA